rnacentral:rRNA from 1 species
CCUGCCCACUGAUAAAAAUUAAAGGGCCGCAGUAUUUUGACUGUGCGAAGGUAGCAUAAUCAUUAGUCUUUUAAUUGGAGGCUUGUAUGAAUGGUUGAAUGAGAUAUAUACUGUCUUUUUUAAAAUUAUAUAGAAUUUUAUUUUUUAAUCAAAAAGUUAAAAUAAAAUUAAAGGACGAGAAGACCCUAUAGAUCUUUAUUUUUGUUAUUUAUAAAUUAAAAAGAAUUUUAAAAUUUAUAAUUUAAUAAAAAAUUUUAUUGGGGUGAUAUUAAAAUUUAAAAAACUUUUAAAAUUUAUUAACAUUAAUAUAUGAAUAAAUGAUCCAGUUUUAUUGAUUAAAAAAUUAAGUUACCUUAGGGAUAACAGCGUAAUUUUUUUUUAGAGUUCAUAUCGACAAAAAAGAUUGCGACCUCGAUGUUGGAUUAAGAGUUAUUUUUAGGUGUAGAAGUUUAAAGUUUAGGUCUGUUCGACCUUUGAAUUCUUACAUGAUCUGAGU